rnacentral:rRNA from 1 species
GACAGAGGAGCCAAGCGUUGUCUGGAUUGACUGGGCGUAAAGCGCACGCAGGCGGAUGCGCGCGUGGGGUGUGAAAUCUGGCCGCUUAACGGCCAGGCGCCAUCCCAUACGGCGCGUCUGGAGUGAUGCAGAGGUCGAUGGAAUUGCCGGUGUAGUGGUGAAAUGCGUAGAGAUCGGCAGGAACACCCAGGGGGAAACCAGUCGACUGGGCAUCUACUGACGCUGAGGUGCGAGAGCGUGGGGAGCGAACCGG